GACGAACGCUGGCGGCGUGCUUAACACAUGCAAGUCGAACGGUGAAGCGCCUUCCUUUUUGGUGGGUGUGGAUGAGUGGCGAACGGGUGAGUAACACGUGAGUAACAUGCCCCCUUCUUCUGGAUAACCGCAUGAAAGUGUGGCUAAUACGGGAUAUUCUGCGUCUGUCUCAUGCUGGGUCUGGGAAAGUUAUUGUUUCGGUGGGGGAUGGGCCCGCGGCCUAUCAGCUUGUUGGUGGGGUGGAGGCCUACCAAGGCGGGGACGGGUAGCCGGCCUGAGAGGAUGAUCAGCCAAGCUUGGAAUGAGACACGGCAGAGACUAAUACUGGACGCAGCGGGGGAGCAUGAUGGACCGAGGCCGCGAGAGUGAUGGAGCCCUGCGGGGUGUGAGAUGCAUGCGCUAGUGAAGUAGAGCUGUCUUACCUGUGGGUGGGAUGACGGUAGCUGGAUAAUAAGCUCCGGCUAACUCCGUG
rnacentral:rRNA from 1 species